GUGCACAAACAGAAAAGACAGAGAGCUGAAAAGUUGCACAUUUCCAUUGCUCCUAGAAUGAGCAAAUCAGCUGUGCAUCAUCUCUGGGAUUUGGGCAGAAAAUGACUGAAUAUGGAAGAUGAAGCCA